AAAGGCAUCAAGACUGCAAGCACCAUUGCCAACUCUUCUAAGAAAGUUCGGGUCAAGCUGGGAAACCUUGAGCUCUACGUCGAGCAGGAGUCAGUUCCUUCCACGUGGUAUUUUCUGAUUGUGCUCCCUGUCUUGCUAGUGAUUGUCAUUUUUGCGGCCGUGGGGGUGACCAGGCACAAAUCGAAGGAGCUGAGUCGCAAACAGAGUCAACAACUAGAAUUGCUGGAAAGCGAGCUCCGGAAAGAGAUACGUGACGGCUUUGCUGAGCUGCAGAUGGAUAAAUUGGAUGUGGUUGAUAGUUUUGGAACUGUUCCCUUCCUUGACUACAAACAUUUUGCUCUGAGAACUUUCUUCCCUGAGGGCUCUGAGGAGUCGUCUACUUAACCCUUUGGGUUGCUGGUCUUACCUAUGUUCUCACGCCUCCAUUUUCUCACCCACUCACUCAGCCUUUUCCAUAUACCCUCCCAAGUUUUUGGCGAGGUACACUCAUCCUACGUAUCAUCACCGCCAUGUCCUGAUACCCCAGCUCCGCCAAAUUGCCCUUCUUUUUUGCGGUCUGAUGACCACAUAGAGGCCCAACCUCUUAAACACAUCAAUACCAAUGAUCACAUUUCAAUCUAGACUUCUAAGCAACGGCUGAAAUCUCUCCAGGCCAAAGGAGAGUUUGUAUCAUCUUACUAGAAGCUUCUCCGGAACAAUUGGCCAGAAGCCUAGAGUUCAGAAACCCAGACACAUGCAGUAA
rnacentral:sRNA from 1 species